GAGUUCAGACCGGAGUAAUCCAGGUCAGUUUCUAUCUAUAAAGGACUUUUUCUAGUACGAAAGGACCGAAAAAGCAUGGCCAAUGCCCAAGUAUGCCAUAUGUACAACUUAUGAUAAUAUCUUAAUAAAAACACAUCCUACCACAAACCCCAAAAAAAGGGGAGUUAAC
rnacentral:rRNA from 1 species